CUUUCAAAUCACACCUGCAAACUGUCACGCAAUGGAAAUCCAGGUCCUCAGGAGAAAAACAUUAAGCACAGGAAUGCAAGGCGUUCCCAAACACUUUCAGGUUUUAACACUAACAAGCUGAUGAUUUCUCAGACCGGAGUCUCCAAGAGCCAUUCUUUCAAAAGCUGGUUAUGAGCUGUUCUGAGAAGUCAGUCAAGCACCACUUUUUAACAUCUACAGCAGUUCUUGACCUCUUUUGCUGUGUGACGUCGCUGUGCAGUCACUUCUAAAACUCAUGACACAAAUAUUUGGACUUUUUAAAAUCCCUAUAACAGUCUAUUUAUCUUCUACCCAUCUACCUUUAAUGAAACACAACAUAGCUAGUCUUAAAUAAGUAGCCUACGGCCCUCUGUGGCAGCACCACGGUACAGUAACUGUAGACCUACCACAGAUGUCCAUUUGAUAAUAGAAACCCACAAGGUACAGUUUCCAUUCACAAGUCCCAUUAUAACCAAAAACCAUUACAAUUUCUGUAAUGGUUUCUGUCCGAGGGUUCAGGAUUCGUACACGCCUGGAUUAACUAGAGUUGUUUUUCAGACUUGUGCACCACCACCACUAACCACUAGAUGGACACCAAGCUCUAUCUGAUUCCACACGGUGAUUUUCAGCAUCAAACCAAGCAGAUUUUACUAGAUUACGGGAAGAUUUCCACCUGCAAAACCGACUAAAGUGUCUGCGGUGGCAAUUCAUGUAAAUAACCUCUUGACUGUUAACUUCCCAUUUCGUGACAGAACCCGGUAUGAUGGAGACGGCGGGGUCGUGCCACAAAGGAGAGGAGCGAAAGAAAACAUCUCCGAACGAGGCCACAGACCAGAUCUCUGUCUCUUUCUCUUGCUCGUUUUGAGUCAUUUGCUAAUGCACCAGCAAAUGUCUGUAUUCAGUGUUUUACACCCAGAGCCGUCUUCAAAUUAACAUCAAUUACUAGUAGACGUAAGUUUUUCCUCCAGUGUUAAUUAGAGUGUAAUGUUUGAGGUUCAGCAUUAUGUGUGAAAUGUAUCAUGCCUAAUGAAAGACGAAUGUUGUUUAUCAUUUAUUUUGCCAUCAUCGCUUACAUUUAAAGAUUAAGUGUGGGGUUUUGUCGCAUUCUUAAUAUUUGGAAGUCCCCAGAGAUGAGGUUCGCAUACAAGAAGAAGCCAGGGCCUGGCCUAUGUGCGUGUGCUCGCUAGUAGCAUUAACGCUGAACUGGUAAUUUAGCACUUACGUGCAAAUGCUUUACAAAUGUCAUCUACUACCCUUGAGUUUCCACUGACAACUGCUCCAGCUCUGAGAGUGAGAAAGGGAGGCGGUGGAGGAAAAGAAUGAGAGAUAAGGAAAAGAGAAGGCCACCUACAGACUCACAUUCGUUUCUCACUCCAGCCCACAUUUAGCACUCUCAAUAACAAUUGCAUUUUUCUGUGUAAACAACCUUGGAGAACAUUCUGUCGCGUUCAAUCCAUAUGCUACGAUACUGUGACACUUCGCUUCGCACAAAUAAGGAAAGGAGGUGACUUGUGGCCAAGUAUGGUGACCCAUACUCAGAAUACAUGCUUGCAUUUCACCCAUCCAAGUGCACACACACACAGCAGUGAGUAGUGAACCAUUAGGCCACAACUGCCCCCUAGUCUAAUAAAUAGUCUAAUAGUUUAAAUAAUAAGCUAUAAUUUCAGCAUCUGUUGGAUCCAUGGCCUUUUCUGCAAAAGGGUUAUUGCUUGUUCUAUAUUUACAGUCCUCAGCUUAUAUUUAUGUCUGUUAAACUUACCUUCAAUACAAACAUUGUUGGUUUCCUAUGUUACUUUUUAAAGCAAGCUCAUUCUUAAACUUUGAGUCAUAUCAGCAGGGGUGAAGAAACACAUAAAAAAAUCCAUGAGUGUUUCAUUGGUGGAAUAACCUUAGUUGCACUUUCCCACAAUAAUACAAGUUGUCAAGCUUCAAAAAUGACUAAAUUGAUAUAUCAAAGCAUCAAGUUGUAUGAGGUACCUCUUUGAACUCCGUUCACGAAUAGACAGCACUGAUAUUCUUCUGAACUGAGUUCCACUGAAGAAAGACAUUUGGAUUGGGAACAAUGUGAGGAUGAGUAAAUAAAAACAGAUUUGCAGUCUGUAUGAGCCAUUAUUCACAAAGUAACACAAGAAGCCUUAAUACAAAGCUCAUUUUUAGCAGUGUCAACUUUGAGGAACGUGAGACCACCACUGACGACAG
ensembl:lncRNA